rnacentral:rRNA from 1 species
UACGGAGGUUGCAAGCGUUAAUCGGAAUUACUGGGCGUAAAGCGUGCGCAGGCGGUUUGUUAAGUCCGCUGUGAAAUCCCCGAGCUCAACUUGGGAAUUGCAGUGGAUACUGGCAGGCUGGAGUAUGGUAGAGGAAGGUGGAAUUCCCGGUGUAGCAGUGAAAUGCGUAGAGAUCGGGAGGAACACCAGUGGCGAAGGCGGCCUUCUGGACCAAUACUGACGCUCAUGCACGAAAGCGUGGGGAGCAAACAGG